UAUUAAAGAUUAUUUGUGAAACUGUUAAUAUCAAUAUUUAUUCUGGAAGAGAGAAAAUAUAUUAAUUGAUAUUAGUAUUAAGUUCUUACGUAAAAGUGUACUAUUGAAAAAUGGAAAGUAACACAAAAGAUUUUCGGGUGUUAUCUACAAUAAUAUAAUAUUUGUUUUUAAGAUAUGGGUGGUCAAUUCGAAAAUGCACA
rnacentral:lncRNA from 1 species